AUUGAACGCUGGCGGCACGCCUAACACAUGCAAGUCGAACGGCAGCGGGGGAGAAGCUUGCUUUUCCUGCCGGCGAGUGGCGAACGGGUGAGUAAUACAUCGGAACGUGCCCUGUAGUGGGGGGUAACUAGUCGAAAGAUUAGCUAAUACCGCAUACGACCUGAGGGUGAAAGUGGGGGACCGCAAGGCCUCAUGCUAUAGGAGCGGCCGAGGUCUGAUUAGCUAGUUGGUGGGGUAAAGGCCUACCAAGGCGACGAUCAGUAGCUGGUCUGAGAGGCCGAUGAGCCACACUGGGACUGGGACACGGCCCAGACUCCUACGGGAGCCAGCAGUGGUGAAUUUUGGACAAUGGGCGAAAGCCUGAUCCAGCAAUGCCGCGUGUGUGAAGAAGGCCUUCGGGUUGUAAAGCACUUUUGUCCGGAAAGAAAUGGCUCUGGUUAAUACCUGGGGUCGAUGACGGUACCGGAAGAAUAAGGACCGGCUAACUACGUGCCAGCAGCCGCAGUAA
rnacentral:rRNA from 1 species